GACGAACGCUGGCGGCGUGCCUAAUACAUGCAAGUAGAACGCAGUUACUAGCGGGUGAGUAACGCGUAGGUAACUGCCUGGUCGCGGGGGGUAACUAUUGGAAGCGAUAGCUAAUACCGCAUACUACCUGAGGUACCUGCGAUGGAUUAGCUAGUGGGUGGGGUAACGGCUCACCAAGGCAAGGCUACAUAGCCGGACUGAGAGGGGGAACGGCCACAGUGGGACUGAGACACGGCCCAGACUCCUACGGGAGGCAGCAGUAGGGAAUCUUCGGCAAUGGACGGAAGUCUGACCGAGCAACGCCGCGUGAGUGAAGAAGGUUUUCGGAUCGUAAAGCUCUGUUGUAAGAGAAGCGGUAUCUUACUAGAAAGGCACGGCUAACUCCGUGCCAGCAGCCGCGGUAAUAC
rnacentral:rRNA from 1 species